AUUUAGGGUCAAAAGGGCAACAAGAGAAAUCAUACUUUUGCUGUACGUAACUAUUCACGUAUAUACUGUUAGACUCCAUAAAACCUUCUGAGGCAGCCACGUGUUGGGAGAGCAACUGUCUUGGUGUGUCCAGGACUGAGAGUUCCUGGGACGUGGGACUUUAGGUGCUAAAACUGGGAAUGUCCCAGACCAACUGGGAUGAACUGAUCACUGUUAUGGGUUGAAUGGUGCCUCCCAACACCAAAAACACUUGAAUGGUGUCCAAGUUCAAAGCCCCAGUUCCUGUGGCCAUGACCUCAUCUGGAAACAAGGUCUCUGCAGACGGAGUCAGGUUAAGACACAGUCAAGGGAAAUCACGCUGGAGUAAGGUGGGCCCUGACUCCAUUGCCUUGUGUCCCCGUAAGAAAAGAAAACAGAGACACGCAGGGAAGAAGGCCGUGUGAAGACAGAGGCAGAUCCUGGGGUGAUGCGGCCACAAGCCAAGGACGCCUGGGGCCCCAGAACUGGAGGAAGAAAGGAAAUCCUCCCCUAAAGGCCGCAGAGGGAGCACAGCCCUGCGACACCCGGAUCUCAGCCUUCUGGCCUCCAGGCUGAGAGAAGACACUGCUGUUGUUUAAAGCCCCCGGUUCAUAGUGUUGUUACAACAGCCUGCGGAAUGGACACAGUUGCCCCAGCCAAGUGACGCGCGCAAAGGCUAGACCCGCUGGGAGGUGACAAAGAGAAGGGCAUGCAUGAGCCACAGAAAGAACGAAGGGGAGGGACGACAAGGGUGGACAAGGACCCCCAGCCGCCUCUGUGACUGUCCUGGGACGCAUGCAGGUCUACAGGAGACAUUUGUGAAGAAAGGGAUGUUUCCUAAAGCAUUAAUCAAAGCGCCUGAUCUGGUCCAACCCUCUGGUGCUGCAGAUGAAGCCACUGUCACCAGAGCUGUGGCCUGUUGGAGGCGCCAGAGCCGAGCCCCAGCCUGGGUGUACAGUACUCAGCCCUGUCGUGUACCCCUUGUCUGCCCUCCCGGAGCUGUGCGCAGGGCCCCGCAUGUCCUCUCUCCAUGCUACCCCGUGCCCACCUCCCCAUUACCUGACCACAGUGGCCAUGACUGCAGACAGUGACGGGAGGGACAGAGACCCAGCCUGGCCCCCAAAAGGAAACGAGGAGGUGGCCAAGGACAAAAGGGUUAGGGUGUCAGAACACAGCCAUCAGUGUUGACAAGUCAUUGUAGCCAGAAGACCUGAAGCCCCCGACUCGUCCAUGGGGAAAAGCAGCAGGAGGCGUGUCAGGUUCUCCAGAGCCAGCAUGUCCAGAUGGCCACAGAGGGAUGACAAGGCACGGAUCCCUGAGCCACUGGGGAAAUGCAGGCGAGCAGCCUUACUUGAUCAGGAAACUCCAGCGGGAAUGAGAAGGACGCAGCCCGGGACCACGCCCGUCUCGCCUGCGGCUCUGCUGUUUAUGUUUAUGUGACCAACUUCCUCUCGCUGCCGUUUAGCUGUGCGGGACUUUCCGCUACUAUAAACUAUGCUGAUGGACAUCACUGCUAUCGUCCCCCUGGAGAAGCGGGCUGAGGUUCUCCACAUGGUGUCAAACCACCCUCAUGAAAGGUCUAUCAACAGGGCCUCCAACAAACCUGUGCGCCCGGGUGUUCACAGCAGCACGCUCGCAAUCACCAGGGUAGGGCAACCAAGUGCCCAUCGCCGGGUGAGCAGAUGACAAAGCGUGCUCCAGCCACAGUGGACCAGCGCUCAGCCACAGAAAGGGACGAAGCUCUGACACACUUUAUGACGUAGAUGAACCUCGGAAACCUCAUGCUGAGCGAGAGAAGCCAGACACAGAGGGCCACACAGUGCGUGAUCCCAUUUAUAGGAAACAUCCAGAACAGCAAAUCCACAGAGACAGAAAGCAGACUAGUGGGUGCCAGGGGCCGGGGAGGGACUGCUCAUGGGGACGGACUCUCCUUUUGGGACGAUGGGAAUGUUUUGGAAUUAGAGCUGAUGGUUCUAUAAUGUGAAUGUGCUGAAUGCCACUGAAUUCUACACUUUAAAUGGUGAAUUUUAUGUUAUGCGAACUCUACCUUAACUAAAAAACAAAAGGUACCGUCCACAGGCCAACUGCACACCCAUGAGAGUGAUGGAAGGGAUGGUUUUCAAAGCUGGGGACAGGCAGGGACCCACAGGGAGGUGCGACCGCCUCGUUUCCGCCCUCCUGUUAGCCCGCUCACCCACCGGC